GGUGAACGCUGGCGGCGUGCUUAAGACAUGCAAGUCGAACGGCAGUCUUCGGACUGUAGUGGCGCACGGGUGAGUAACGCGUAACUGACCUACCCCAAAGUCGCGGAUAACGAUUCGAAAGAAUCGCUAAUACGUGAUGUGCUGUCAGAUUGUGUUCUGCCAGUAAAGUCUGAUUGCUUUGGGAUGGGGUUGCGUUCCAUCAGCUAGUUGGUGGGGUAAAGGCCCACCAAGGCGACGGCGGAUAGCCGGCCUGAGAGGGUGGCCGGCCACAGGGGCACUGAGACACGGGUCCCACUCCUACGGGAGGCAGCAGUUAGGAAUCUUCCACAAUGGGCGAAAGCCUGAUGGAGCGACGCCGCGUGAGGGAUGAAGGUCUUCGGAUCGUAAACCUCUGAAUCAGGGACGAAAGACACUUCGGUGGGAUGACGGUACCUGAGUAAUAGCACCGGCUAACUCCGUGCCAGCCGCCGCCGUAAUAC
rnacentral:rRNA from 1 species